UUCAAGUAAUCCAGGAUAGGCUUUCUGUACCUGCUUUGGCCUAUGCUUGAUUACUUGCGCU
rnacentral:pre_miRNA from 1 species